rnacentral:rRNA from 1 species
AUUGAACGCUGGCGGCAGGCUUAACACAUGCAAGUCGAACGGUAACAGAAGAAAAGCUUGCUUUUCUUGCUGACGAGUGGCGGACGGGUGAGUAAUGCUUGGGAAUCUGCUUAUGGAGGGGGAUAACUACGGGAAACUGUAGCUAAUACCGCGUAAUGUCUUCGGAUUAAAGUGUGGGACCUUCGGGCCACAUCCAUAAGAUGAGCCCAAGUGAGAUUAGGUAGUUGGUGAGGUAAAGGCUCACCAAGCUGACGAUCUCUAGCUGGUUUGAGAGGAUGACCAGCCACACUGGAACUGAGACACGGCCCAGACUCCUACGGGAGGCAGCAGUGGGGAAUAUUGCACAAUGGGCGCAAGCCUGAUGCAGCCAUGCCGCGUGAAUGAAGAAGGCUUUCGGGUUGUAAAGUUCUUUCAGCGAUGAGGAAGGUGCAUUAUCUAAUAGGUGAUGUAAUUGACGUUAGUCGCAGAAGAAGCACCGGCUAACUCCGUGCCAGCAGCCGCGGUAAUACGGAGGGUGCGAGCGUUAAUCGGAAUAACUGGGCGUAAAGGGCACGCAGGCGGUUGUCUAAGUCGGAUGUGAAAGCCCCGAGCUUAACUUGGGAAUUGCAUUUGAGACUGGGCGACUAGAGUCCUCUAGGGAGGGGUAGAAUUCCACGUGUAGCGGUGAAAUGCGUAGAGAUGUGGAGGAAUACCGAAGGCGAAGGCAGCCCCUUGGAGAGAGACCUGACGCUGAGGUGCGAAAGCGUGGGUAGCAAACAGG